rnacentral:lncRNA from 1 species
GACCAGGAGCACACAGGGUGAACUGGGUGUUUAUCCCUCUCAAAGGCUCCAUCCGGACAGCCUCCGUUCCCCUCCCCGCUCCCCGCCCAUGUCUUCUCUCUAGCUGAGGCUUCAGAAACGUGACUGGGGGGAGUCUUGGAAGGAAGAAUGGCAGAACAGAGGGAGAAAAACCCGGACAGAGCACCCGCUGUGCGCCAAUCCCGGACCGAGCCUCUCCGUGUGCUACAAACUUGUGUCUUCUGAAGGAGCUCACCAGCAACUUCUACACCCAGGCCUGAGGAGGUGCUCCAAAGAAAGGGCUGCUGAUGGGAAGGAACUGAGAGGCGGGUCUCCUGUUUCCCCAGUACCCUAUAUCCGCA